UUGUAUCCCGAAGAAUAUUAAGGAUUCCUCGGGAUACGGGAUCAAAUUUUUUAACGAUUUUACUCCAUAGGUCCAUCAAAUCAGAACCGAUUUUCACAAUUCUUUAUUUUUACAAAGGUUGUACUCUCAGGUUAGUACCAUGUAAGUUUGGCGAAGAUGUGAUGAACAGU